CAGAAAAUGAGUGUGCAGUCAGGAAUGUCAGAUCAGAGAGUGAAGAAAGGAAAGAGAGAGAGCAGAGAGGAAGCUAGGCGAGGCGUGAAGCUAAAUCUAUGGAAUGAAGAGAGGAUGAGAAGAGCAGUUAAUGAACUCAGGGAGCAGGAGGCGUUAUGUAACCACACGUGCCAUUUUUCCCGGAUGCGUCCUGCCCAGGAUUUCUAUAUCGCCUAAAAUAUCUCGGUUUUGGCUUUGUUUGCGUGUGCAGACCGAUCGGUGUAUGACAUCAAAGUACCAUACAGACGGUUCCUUAUGCUUUCAAAACGCUCUCGAGGCACUUUGAUGUCAAACACUGAUCAGUCUGAGCCGUGCUGCUUUUAAGUCAAACACACCUAAUAUGUACGCGUAAUUGCAUCGCUUUGACCAUAGAUCCCACCUUCUCACACACAUCAUGAUUGGUCAAUUACAAUGCCUGCAUGUUAUUGGUCAAACUACUUUUCGAUCAUUACCUUCAGCAAGCAUGAAAACAGGAAAACAAAGCCACAAAUCCUAGCAAGGAAGUGUCUGGGAAAAAUGACACGUGGUCACCUGAAUUAUGCAAAAAUCCUAAUGCGCUUCUUAGCCAGGGCAUGGAAUGUGCCAAGGAGCACCCUGUAGAAUGUAGGGCACAGGGUGCUGGCCAUAUGUCUGGGCGCAAACCAUGCAAAUCAGAGGAGUCUGAAAAGGAACUUGCAGCUCGCUCACAACUCUUUCUCAAAAGGGAUUUCCCCUUAAAAGAUCUGAUGACUGGAAAGUUGCUUAUGACGUUGCACCAGCAGCAGGAAUUAAGGGAUUUUCUGAAGAAAAAAAAAGAAAAGAAAAGAAAGCUGGCUACUACUCGUUCAAGAGCUUCAUGAAGCGCAAUCCUGGGCUCUGCUUAAAAAAAAAACAAGUACUCUUAGCUGCCAGGGCUGCUGGAAUGAACCAACAGGUGGUGGUUCGAAGAAUAUUAGUUCUUCGCAUCUCACAAAACUAGAUAUCAAAGAUCUUCCCAGUCAUCUGGAACUGUAACUAGAGUGGAUUUCAAGACAAUUUCUCUUCUGAUCGGGCAGUGGGAGGGGCUGGGAAACCCUGGUUUGAGGUCACAGCAGGAGAGAACGACACAACAGUUGUUGCUAUUGCUUUUAAUGGUGUUAUGCAGUACGUGCCACCACUGAUCAUCUUCAAGGGAAAGAGGGUGAGGCAAGAAUGGCUCUCCACAAAAUGCCAUGGUGAGGGUUUCUGACAAUGAAUGGAUUAAUGCAGAUCUCUUCUAUGAGUGGGGAAAGAUGUUUAUCGCACAGCUCCCGACGGAUGACAGCAGACCUCACCUCCUCCCAGUGGCGGAUUUAGCAAAUUGGGGGCCCAAGGCGAAGAUACUCACCAGGCUCACGGCAGCGCAGCAGUCUCCAGACUCUUCUCAGAGGCCUCCACAGACACUCAAACAUCCCACCUGCGACAAGAUAAGAUAUUCUCAACCAUCACGGAAUGGAAUGCACAGGAUUGAGGGAUAUCAAAGGCAGCGAAGGAUACAUCUAUGCUGCCUUCAAAAUUAGAUCAGAAGAAGGUACCUCCGGGCACAGGAAGUAAAGCAGAAUUUGGAUUCGGACGUGCUUGAUGCCCGCCUUGGAAUGCUGCCUCCGAAGGAAGCAUUUUAGAACUUUUGGACGCAUAUAAGACAAUCUCUGACUGGACGCAGAUGAGACCAGAAGCUAGACCUAUAGAAUUUACAAAUGGCCAUGCCCAUGUUUACAGGAAGAAAAAG